UAGGGAAUCUUCCGCAAUGGACGAAAGUCUGACGGAGCAACGCCGCGUGAGUGAAGAAGGAUUUCGGUUCGUAAAACUCUGUUGUUAGGGAAGAAAAAAUGUAUAGUAACUAUAUACAAAAGAGACGGUACCUAACCAGAAAGCCACGGCUAACUACGUGCCAGCAGCCGCGGUAAUACGUAGGUGGCAAGCGUUGUCCGGAAUUAUUGGGCGUAAAGCGCGCGCAGGUGGUUUAGAAAGUCUGAUGUGAAAGCCCACGGCUCAACCAUUGUAGGCUUUGGAAACUGUUUAACUUGAGUGCAGAAGGGGAGAGUGGAAUUCCAUGUGUAGCGGUGAAAUGCGUAGAUAUAUGGAGGAACACCGGUGGCGAAAGCGGCUCUCUGGUCUGUAACUGACGCUGAGGCUCGAAAGCGUGGGGAGCGAACAGG
rnacentral:rRNA from 1 species